rnacentral:rRNA from 1 species
CCUACGGGAGGCAGCAGUGGGGAAUAUUGGACAAUGGGCGCAAGCCUGAUCCAGCCAUGCCGCGUGAGUGAUGAAGGCCUUAGGGUUGUAAAGCUCUUUCGCCGGUGAAGCGGUAACCGGAAAAGAAGCCCCGGCUAACUUCGUGCCAGCAGCCGCGGUAAUACGAAGGGGGCUAGCGUUGUUCGGAUUUACUGGGCGUAAAGCGCGCGUAGGCGGAUAAAUUAGUUAGAGGUGAAAUCCCAGGGCUCAACCCUGGAACUGCCUUUAAUACUGUUUAUCUAGAGUAUGAAAGAGGUGAGUGGAAUUCCGAGUGUAGAGGUGAAAUUCGUAGAUAUUCGGAGGAACAUCAGUGGCGAAGGCGGCUCACUGGUUCAUACUGACGCUGAGGUGCGAAAGCGUGGGGAGCAAACAGGAUUAGAUACCCUUGUAGUC